rnacentral:rRNA from 1 species
UGGGGAAUUUUGCACAAUGGGGGAAACCCUGAUGCAGCGACGCCGCGUGAUUUAGAAGGCCUUCGGGUUGUAAAAAUCUUUUCUAUGGGAAGAAAAUGACAGUACCAUAGGAAUAAGGACCGGCUAAUUACGUGCCAGCAGCCGCGGUAAUACGUAAGGUCCGAGCGUUGUCCGGAAUCAUUGGGCGUAAAGGGUACGUAGGCGGGUAAGCAAGUUAGAAGUGAAAUCCUAUAGCUCAACUAUAGUAAGCUUUUAAAACUGCUCAUCUUGAGGUAUGGAAGGGAAAGUGGAAUUCCUAGUGUAGCGGUGAAAUGCGCAGAUGUUAGGAGGAAUACCGGUGGCGAAGGCGACUUUCUGGCCAUAACCUGACGCUGAGGUACGAAAGCGUGGGUAGCAAACAGG